UACAGAGGGUGCGAGCGUUAAUCGGAAUUACUGGGCGUAAUGCGUGCGUAGACGGUUAUUUAAGUCGGGUGUGAAAGCCCCGGGCUCAACCUGGGAAUUGCAUUCGAGACUGAAUAGCUAGGGUACGGUAGAGGGAAGUGGAAUUUCCGGUGUAGCGGUGAAAUGCGUAGAUAUCGGAAGGAACAUCAGUGGCGAAAGCGACUUCCUGGACCAGUACCGACGUUCAGGCACGAAAGCGUGGGGAGCAAACAGG
rnacentral:rRNA from 1 species